UACGUAGGUGGCUAGCGUUGUCCGGAUUUACUGGGCGUAAAGAGCGCGCAGGCGGUCGUUCAAGUCGAGUGUGAAAGCCCCCGGCUCAACUGGGGAGGGUCACUCGAUACUGAUCGACUCGAAGGCAGGAGAGGGAAGCGGAAUUCCCGGUGUAGCGGUGAAAUGCGCAGAUAUCGGGAGGAACACCAAUGGCGAAGGCAGCUCGCUGGACGGUACGUGACGCUGGAGGCGCGGAAAGCG
rnacentral:rRNA from 1 species